UACAGAGGAUGCAAGCGUUAUCCGGAAUGAUUGGGCGUAAAGCGUCUGUAGGUGGCUUUUUAAGUCCGCCGUCAAAUCCCAGGGCUCAACUCUGGACAGGCGGUGGAAACUACCAAGCUGGAGUACGGUAGGGGCAGAGGGAAUUUCCGGUGGAGCGGUGAAAUGCGCAGAGAUCGGAAGGAACACCGGUGGCGAAAGCGGCGCGCUGGAUCCCUACUGACGCUGAGGCACGAAAGCCAGGGGAGCAAACGGG
rnacentral:rRNA from 1 species